UACGGGGGGGGCAAGCGUUGUUCGGAAUUACUGGGCGUAAAGGGCUCGUCGGCGGCCAACUAAGUCGGAUGUGAAAUCCCCAGGCUUAACCUGGGAACUGCAUCCGAUACUGGAUGGCUUGAAUCCGGGAGAGGGAUGCAGAAUUCCAGGUGUAGCGGUGAAAUGCGUAGAUAUCUGGAGGAAUACCGGUGGCGAAGGCGGCAUCCUGGACCGGCAUUGACGCUGAGUGAGCGAAAGCCAGGGGAGCAAACGGG
rnacentral:rRNA from 1 species